UAGGCGGCGUACUAAGUCGGGUGUGAAAUCCCUCGGCUCAACCGAGGAACUGCACUCGAUACUGGUAUGCUUGAGGACAGGAGAGGAGAGCGGAAUUCCAGGUGUAGCGGUGAAAUGCGUAGAUAUCUGGGAGAAGGCCGGCGGCGAAGGCGGCUCUCUGGACUGUUCCUGACGCUGAGGUACGAAAGCUAGGGGAGCGAACGGGAUUAGAUACCCCGGUAGUCCUAGCUGUAAACGAUGGGCACUUCGUAUGGGGGACUCCGAUGUCCUCCUUGCGGGAGCGAAAGCAUUAAGUGCCCCGCCUGGGGAGUAUGGUCUCAAGGCUGAAACUCAAAGGAAUUGACGGGGGCUCACACAAGCGGUGGAGCAUGUUGUUUAAUUCGAGGCAACGCGAAGAACCUUACCCGGGUUUGACAUGCUGGGAUUAACCCUGUGAAAGCAGGGGGAUUGCCUUAACCGGUGUAACCAGCACAGGUGCUGCAUGGCUGUCGUCAGCUCGUGUCGUGAGAUGUUGGGUUCAGUCCCGUAACGAGCGAAACCCUUGUCGUCUGUUGCUAACGUGUAAUGGCGAGCACUCUGACGAGACUGCCGGUGAUAAGCCGGAGGAAGGCGGGGACGACGUCAAGUCAUCAUGGUCCUUACGUCCGGGGCGACAAACGUGCUACAAUGACCGGUACAGAGAGAAGCGAUACCGCGAGAUGGAGCAAAUCUUCAAAGCCGGCCUCAGUUCGGAUUGGAGGCUGCAAUUCGCCUCCAUGAAGUUGGAAUCGCUAG
rnacentral:rRNA from 1 species